GGCUCUGUAGUUCAAUGGAUAGAACGGAGGUUUCCUAAACCUGAGAUUUGGGUUCGAUUCCCAGCGGGGCUA
rnacentral:tRNA from 1 species